rnacentral:rRNA from 1 species
GACGAACGCUGGCGGCGUGCCUAAUACAUGCAAGUUGAGCGCUGAAGGUUGGUACUUGUACCGACUGGAUGAGCAGCGGACGGGUGAGUAACGCGUGGGUAAUCUGCCUUUGAGCGGGGGACAACAUUUGGAAACGAAUGCUAAUACCGCAUAAAAACUUUAAACACAAGUUUUAAGUUUGAAAGAUGCAAUUGCAUCACUCAAAGAUGAUCCCGCGUUGUAUUAGCUAGUUGGUGAGGUAAAGGCUCACCAAGGCGAUGAUACAUAGCCGACCUGAGAGGGUGAUCGGCCCCCUUGGGACUGGGGCACGGCCCAAACCCCCUCGGGAGGCAGCAGUAGGGGAUCUUCGCCCAUGGAGGAAAGUCUUGCCGAGCCACGCCGGGGGAGUGAAGAAGGUUUUCCGAUCGUAAAACUCUGUUGGUAGGGAAGAACGUUGGGGAGAGUGGAAAGCUCAUCACGUGACGGUAACUACCCAGAAAGCGACGGCUAACUACGUG